rnacentral:sRNA from 12 species
GCUCUGCCAACGCUACGGCUUGGCAGGCAGACCUCUUUAACGUGGUCAGCCAGUUUUGUCCUGCUUCGGCAAAUACGUUUAGCGGUUCGGUAGAGCGCCUAGUAAGUUAUUGAAAAGCGCAGCCGAC